GGAUUGUAGCUCAGUGGUAGAGUGCUUGCCUAGCAUGUGUGAGGCACUGGGUUCGAUUCUCAGCACCA
rnacentral:tRNA from 1 species